rnacentral:rRNA from 1 species
AGAUUGAACGCUGGCGGCAGGCCUAACACAUGCAAGUCGAGCGGCAGCACGGGUACUUGUACCUGGUGGCGAGCGGCGGACGGGUGAGUAAUGCCUAGGAAUCUGCCUGGUAGUGGGGGAUAACGCUCGGAAACGGACGCUAAUACCGCAUACGUCCUACGGGAGAAAGCAGGGGACCUUCGGGCCUUGCGCUAUCAGAUGAGCCUAGGUCGGAUUAGCUAGUUGGUGAGGUAAUGGCUCACCAAGGCACGAUCCGUAACUGGUCUGAGAGGAUGAUCAGUCACACGUGGAACUGAGACACGGUCCAGGACUCGUACGGGAGCAGCAGGUGGGAAUAGUUGCAACGAAGUCGGGACG